UACGUAGGGGGCAAGCGUUGUCCGGAUUUAUUGGGCGUAAAGAGCGUGUAGGCGGCUUUACAGGUCCGUUGUGAAAACUCGAGGCUCAACCUCGAGACGCCGGUGGAAACCGUAAAGCUAGAGUCCGGAAGAGGAGAGUGGAAUUCCUGGUGUAGCGGUGAAAUGCGCAGAUAUCAGGAAGAACACCAAUGGCGAAGGCAGCUCUCUGGGACGGUACUGACACUGAGACGCGAAAGCGUGGGGAGCGAACAGG
rnacentral:rRNA from 1 species